rnacentral:rRNA from 1 species
UACGUAGGGUGCAAGCGUUUAAUCGGAAUUACUGGGCGUAAAGCGUGCGUAGGUGGUUUCUUAAGUCCGUUGUGAAAGCCCUGGGCUCAACCUGGGAACUGCAGUGGAUACUGAGAGGCUAGAGUGUGUCAGAGGAUGGUGGAAUUCCCGGUGUAGCGGUGAAAUGCGUAGAGAUCGGGGAGGAACAUCAGUGGCGAAGGCGGCCAUCUGGGACAACACUGACGCUUGAGGCA